GUCUACGGCCAAACCACCCUGAAAGCAUCCGAUCUUUUCUGAUCUCGAAAGCUAAGCAGGGUUAGGCCUGGCUAGUACUUGGAUGGGAAACUGAGAAAUAGAUUGGAUAGGUAGCUU
ensembl:rRNA 5S_rRNA 5S ribosomal RNA